rnacentral:lncRNA from 1 species
UUGAUACUCAAGUAACUAGAAAGAACAUGCCAAGAUAUUGAAACAAAUUCUAGAAGUAAAAACUGUUCCACAAUUAAACAAGAGAAGAUUCAAAUUUAGAGUACACAAUUAAAAUAUCCAGCUAAUAUCCAAGCAACAUCAGAAUAUUAUUACAAACCAAGCAAAUAAAAGACAAUUAAGUAAAGAUAGAGAUAGAGUAGUAGAAUAGUAGCAGCAGCAGCAGC